rnacentral:rRNA from 1 species
UGCAGUCGAGCGGACAGAUGGGAGCUUGCUCCCUGAUGUUAGCGGCGGACGGGUGAGUAACACGUGGGUAACCUGCCUGUAAGACUGGGAUAACUCCGGGAAACCGGGGCUAAUACCGGAUGCUUGUUUGAACCGCAUGGUUCAAACAUAAAAGGUGGCUUCGGCUACCACUUACAGAUGGACCCGCGGCGCAUUAGCUAGUUGGUGAGGUAAUGGCUCACCAAGGCGACGAUGCGUAGCCGACCUGAGAGGGUGAUCGGCCACACUGGGACUGAGACACGGCCCAGACUCCUACGGGAGGCAGCAGUAGGGAAUCUUCCGCAAUGGACGAAAGUCUGACGGAGCAACGCCGCGUGAGUGAUGAAGGUUUUCGGAUCGUAAAGCUCUGUUGUUAGGGAAGAACAAGUACCGUUCGAAUAGGGCGGUACCUUGACGGUACCUAACCAGAAAGCCACGGCUAACUACGUGCCAGCAGCCGCGGUAAUACGUAGGUGGCAAGCGUUGUCCGGAAUUAUUGGGCGUAAAGGGCUCGCAGGCGG